GACAGAGGUGCCGAGCGUUAGGCGGAAUCACUGGGCUUAAAGCGUGUGUAGGCGGGUCGUUAAGUACCUUGUGAAAUCCCACGGCUCAACCGUGGAACUGCUUGGUAUACUGGCGAUCUUGAGCGACUUAGGGGCGAGCGGAACAAACGGUGGAGCGGUGAAAUGCGUAGAUAUCGUUUGGAACGCCAAUGGUGAAAACAGCUCGCUGGGAGUCUGCUGACGCUGAGACACGAAAGCCAGGGGAGCAAACGGG
rnacentral:rRNA from 1 species